UACGUAGGGGGCUAGCGUUGUCCGGAAUCAUUGGGCGUAAAGAGCGUGUAGGCGGCCCGGUAAGUCCGCUGUAAAAGUCAAAGGCUCAACCUUUGAAUGUCAGUGGAUACUGCCGGGCUAGAGUCCGGAAGAGGCGAGUGGAACUCCUGGUGUAGCGGUGGAAUGCGCAGAUAUCGGGAGGAACACCGGUGGCGAAGGCGGUUCUCUGGGCCUUACCUGACGCUGAGGAGCGAAAGCGUGGGGAGCAAACAGG
rnacentral:rRNA from 1 species